UAGGGANUCUUCCACAAUGGGNGUAAGCCUGAUGGAGCAACACCGCGUGAGUGAAGAAGGGUUUCGGCUCGUAAAGCUCUGUUGUUAAAGAAGAACACGUAUGAGAGUAACUGUUCAUACGUUGACGGUAUUUAACCAGAAAGUCACGGCUAACUACGUGCCAGCAGCCGCGGUAAUACGUAGGUGGCAAGCGUUAUCCGGAUUUAUUGGGCGUAAAGAGAGUGCAGGCGGUUUUCUAAGUCUGAUGUGAAAGCCUUCGGCUUAACCGGAGAAGUGCAUCGGAAACUGGAUAACUUGAGUGCAGAAGAGGGUAGUGGAACUCCAUGUGUAGCGGUGGAAUGCGUAGAUAUAUGGAAGAACACCAGUGGCGAAGGCGGCUACCUGGUCUGCAACUGACGCUGAGACUCGAAAGCAUGGGUAGCGAACAGGAUUAGAUACCCUGGUAGUCCAUGCCGUAAACGAUGAGUGCUAGGUGUUGGAGGGUUUCCGCCCUUCAGUGCCGGAGCUAACGCAUUAAGCACUCCGCCUGGGGAGUACGACCGCAAGGUUG
rnacentral:rRNA from 1 species